UACGUAGGGUGCAAGCGUUGUUCGGAAUCAUUGGGCGUAAAGCGCGUGUAGGUGGCUAGUUAAGUUGGGUGUGAAAUUCCUGGGCUCAACCGAGGAAAGUGCACUCAAAACUGGCUGGCUAGAAGAUGGUAGAGGAAGGUGGAAUUCCAAGUGUAGAGGUGAAAUUCGUAGAUAUUUGGAGGAAUACCGGCGGCGAAGGCGGCCUUCUGGGCCAUUCUUGACACUGAGACGCGAAAGCGUGGGUAGCAAACAGG
rnacentral:rRNA from 1 species